GACGAACGCUGGCGGCGUGCUUAACACAUGCAAGUCGAACGGAAAGGCCCUGCUUUUGUGGGGUGCUCGAGUGGCGAACGGGGGAGUAACACGUGAGUAACCUGCCCUUGACUGUGGGGUAACUUAAGGAAACUGGGGCUCAUACCGGAUAGGAGCUACUGCUGCAUGGUGGGGGUUGGAAAGUUUCGGCGGUUGGGGAUGGACUCGCGGCUUAUCAGCUUGUUGGUUGGGUAGUGGCUUACCAAGGCUUUGACGGGUAGCAGGCCUGAGCGGGUGAGCGGCCACAUUGGGACUGAGAUACGGCCCAGACUCCUAUGGUAGGCAGCAGAGGGGAAUAUUGCACAAUGGGCGGGAGCCUGAUGUAGCAACGCCGCGUGGGGGAUGACGUCCUGCGGGUUGGAAACCGCUUUCGCCUGUGACGAAGCGUGAGUGACGGUAAUGGGUAAAGAAGCACCGGCUAACUACGUG
rnacentral:rRNA from 1 species